rnacentral:rRNA from 1 species
AGAGUUUGAUCCUGGCUCAGGAUGAACGCUGGCGGCGUGCUUAACACAUGCAAGUCGAACGAACCUUCGGGUUAGUGGCGGACGGGUGAGUAACGCGUGAGAAUCUGCCCUCAGGAGGGGGACAACAGCUGGAAACGGCUGCUAAUACCCCAUAUGCCGCGAGGUGAAAUGAAUUUCGCCUGAGGAUGAGCUCGCGUCUGAUUAGCUAGUUGGUGUAGGUAAUGGCUCACCAAGGCAUCGAUCAGUAGCUGGUCUGAGAGGAUGAUCAGCCACACUGGGACUGAGACACGGCCCAGACUCCUACGGGAGGCAGCAGUGGGGAAUUUUCCGCAAUGGGCGAAAGCCUGACGGAGCAACGCCGCGUGAGGGAUGAAGGCCUCUGGGCUGUAAACCUCUUUUAUCAAGGAAGAAGAUCUGACGGUACUUGAUGAAUAAGCCACGGCUAAUUCCGUGCCAGCAGCCGCGGUAAUACGGGAGUGGCAAGCGUUAUCCGGAAUUAUUGGGCGUAAAGCGUCCGCAGGCGGCCCUUCAAGUCUGCUGUUAAAAAGUGGAGCUUAACUCCAUCAUGGCAGUGGAAACUGUUGGGCUUGAGUGUGGUAGGGGCAGAGGGAAUUCCCGGUGUAGCGGUGAAAUGCGUAGAUAUCGGGAAGAACACCAGUGGCGAAGGCGCUCUGCUGGGCCAUCACUGACGCUCAUGGACGAAAGCCAGGGGAGCGAAAGGGAUUAGAUACCCCUGUAGUCCUGGCCGUAAACGAUGAACACUAGGUGUCGGGGGAAUCGACCCCCUCGGUGUCGUAGCCAACGCGUUAAGUGUUCCGCCUGGGGAGUACGCACGCAAGUGUGAAACUCAAAGGAAUUGACGGGGGCCCGCACAAGCGGUGGAGUAUGUGGUUUAAUUCGAUGCAACGCGAAGAACCUUACCAGGGUUUGACAUCCUGCGAAUCUCUUGGAAACAGGAGAGUGCCUUCGGGAACGCAGUGACAGGUGGUGCAUGGCCGUCGUCAGCUCGUGUCGUGAGAUGUUGGGUUAAGUCCCGCAACGAGCGCAACCCACGUCUUUAGUUGCCAGCAUUUAGUUGGGCACUCUAGAGAGACUGCCGGUGAUAAACCGGAGGAAGGUGUGGAUGACGUCAAGUCAUCAUGCCCCUUACAUCCUGGGCUACACACGUACUACAAUGCUACGGACAAAGGGCAGCAAGUUCGCGAGGACAAGCAAAUCCCAUAAACCGUGGCUCAGUUCAGAUCGUAGGCUGCAACUCGCCUACGUGAAGGCGGAAUCGCUAGUAAUCGCAGGUCAGCAUACUGCGGUGAAUACGUUCCCGGGCCUUGUACACACCGCCCGUCACACCAUGGAAGUUGGCCACGCCCGAAGCCGUUACUCCAACCCUUGUGGAGGAGGACGUCGAAGGUGGGGCUGAUGACUGGGGUGAAGUCGUAACAAGGUAACC